rnacentral:rRNA from 1 species
UACGUAGGGGGCAAGCGUUGUCCGGAUUUAUUGGGCGUAAAGAGCUCGUAGGCGGUCUGUCGCGUCGGAUGUGAAAACCCAGGGCUCAACCCUGGGCCUGCAUUUGAUACGGGCAGACUAGAGUUCGGUAGGGGAGACUGGAAUUCCUGGUGUAGCGGUGAAAUGCGCAGAUAUCAGGAGGAACACCGGUGGCGAAGGCGGGUCUCUGGGCCGAAACUGACGCUGAGGCGCGACAGCGUGGGGAGCAAACAGG